rnacentral:rRNA from 1 species
GAGGAAUAUUGGACAAUGGGGGAAACCCUGAUCCAGCAAUGCCGCGUGAAUGAAGAAGGCCUUCGGGUCGUAAAGUUCUUUUACUCGCGAAGAUAAUGACGGUAGCGAGAGAAAAAGUACCGGCUAACUCUGUGCCAGCAGCCGCGGUAAUACAGAGGGUACUAGCGUUGUUCGGAAUGACUGGGCGUAAAGGGUGCGUAGGUGGUUACUUAAGUGAGAUGUUAAAUGCCCAGGCUUAACCUGGGACUCGCGUUUCAAACUGGGUGACUAGAGUACGGUAGAGGAAAAUGGAAUUCCUAGUGUAGAGGUGAAAUUCGUAGAUAUUAGGAGGAACACCAGAGGCGAAGGCGAUUUUCUGGGCCGGUUACUGACACUGAGGCACGAAAGCGUGGGGAGCAAAC